rnacentral:rRNA from 1 species
GAUGAACGCUAGCUACAGGCUUAACACAUGCAAGUCAGGGGCAGCGCAGUGUAGCAAUACAUGGGCGGCGACCGGCGCACGGGUGCGUAACGCGUAUCCAACCUUCCCGUUACUCAGGGAUAGCCUUCCGAAAGGGAGAUUAAUACCUGAUGGUGUUCAAAUUCCGCAUGUUAUUUGAACUAAAGAUUUAUCGGUAACGGAUGGGGAUGCGUGACAUUAGGUAGAUGGCGGGGUAACGGCCCACCAUGCCCACGAUGUCUAGGGGUUCUGAGAGGAAGGUCCCCCACACUGGAACUGAGACACGGUCCAGACUCCUACGGGAGGCAGCAGUGAGGAAUAUUGGUCAAUGGUCGGAAGACUGAACCAGCCAAGUAGCGUGAAGGAUGAAGGUUCUAUGGAUUGUAAACUUCUUUUAUACGGGAAUAAAACCACCUACGUGUAGGUGCUUGUAUGUACCGUAUGAAUAAGCAUCGGCUAACUCCGUG